AUUGAACGCUGGCGGCAGGCCUAACACAUGCAAGUCGAGCGGAUGACGGGAGCUUGCUCCUUGAUUCAGCGGCGGACGGGUGAGUAAUGCCUAGGAAUCUGCCUGGUAGUGGGGGACAACGUUUCGAAAGGAACGCUAAUACCGCAUACGUCCUAAGGGAGAAAGCAGGGGACCUUCGGGCCUUGUGCUAUCAGAUGAGCCUAGGUCGGAUUAGCUAGUUGGUGGGGUAAUGGCUCACCAAGGCGACGAUCCGUAACUGGUCUGAGAGGAUGAUCAGUCACACUGGAACUGAGACACGGUCCAGACUCCUACGGGAGGCAGCAGUGGGGAAUAUUGGACAAUGGGCGAAAGCCUGAUCCAGCCAUGCCGCGUGUGUGAAGAAGGUCUUCGGAUUGUAAAGCACUUUAAGUUGGGAGGAAGGGCAGUAAGUUAAUACCUUGCUGUUUUGACGUUACCGACAGAAUAAGCACCGGCUAACUCUGUGCCAGCAGCCGCCGUAACAC
rnacentral:rRNA from 1 species